GGGGAAUCUUGGACAAUGGGCGCAAGCCUGAUCCAGCCAUGCCGCGUGAGUGACGAAGGUCUUCGGAUUGUAAAGCUCUUUUGCCAGGGACGAUAAUGACGGUACCUGGAGAAUAAGCCCCGGCUAACUUCGUGCCAGCAGCCGCGGUAAUACGAAGGGGGCUAGCGUUGUUCGGAAUUACUGGGCGUAAAGCGCACGUAGGCGGAUUUGUAAGUCAGGGGUGAAAUCCCGGGGCUCAACCUCGGAACUGCCUUUGAUACUGCAAAUCUCGAGUCCGGAAGAGGUGAGUGGAAUUCCUAGUGUAGAGGUGAAAUUCGUAGAUAUUAGGAAGAACACCAGUGGCGAAGGCGGCUCACUGGUCCGGUACUGACGCUGAGGUGCGAAAGCGUGGGGAGCAAAC
rnacentral:rRNA from 1 species